CUGAAAUCCAAAGCCACAACAAUAAAUAAAGUUAUUAUAUAUGUUAUAAUAGUAUAGUGAUAUCAUCCAUACUCAAUAUAAGCCAUAUUAUGAGCCUGACAAAUAAUAAAUACUCCUAAAUCUUUGUGGGAUAUUAUUAUGUGAUUUUAUAUAUCAUGGAAACCACUCUAAUUUCUUAAAGUCUUUUUGUUUGGAUUCUAAAAUCUUCCACUGGUAAAUUCUCAAAAUUGCCAUAUAGUAAACACAAGGGGCAAUAGGAAAUUUUUCUUCCAAACAUUUUCGAUGAGCAAACAUAUAGCUAAAAAGACACUGCCUUGUAAUCAAAGAUCAUUCUAAAUUCCCCUUAUUAGUAGGUACAUUCAUCGCUUGUCUAACAUUCAGUCCCACCAACUCCACACCCCUUCCUCCAUUCAGAUCCCCCUGCACAAUCUUCCUGUAGCCCUGGAGAAAAAGCAAUGUCUUUCCGCUGUGAUUCUUAAGUUAGGAAUGUGUUUUGAAGUGCAUAAGAGUUAUCUUGUUGUUUAAUUGUGAAGUUGACAAAGUAAGGUUUUCCUGUCAUGAAAAAGCCUGUGUAAUAUCAAGUGCUUACCUGUCUUCUCAAAUAUCUAUGCCACCCAAUUUAUUUAAUCAUUCUUUGGCUUUUGAACUAGAUUUCUACCAUCACAUAUCUCUUCAGUCCUGAUGACACAAAAAAACACAAGGAAGCCAAAGAUAUAGCAGAGAAGAUGAGCUUUCAGAAGUACAAGCAAUCUUAGGAGACCUUACUUUGAUGUUUUGACAAUAUGUCUUCCCAAGAGAGAAAAAUAGGGAUAGAAAGAAUAAAAAAAAAAGUAAGGAAGUGAAAAAGGAGGAAAACUUAACAGGCUUACAUUACUUAGAGUCUAUAAGUAAUGCUUCAUGAAAUAAUUAUUUUUUCAAAUGUAUUUCAUCAUUCCUUAAAUCAACAGUAAAAAUCUUUUCAUUGUGUCCAACUUACUAUACUUCUGUAUGUUACAGUCAACUGUAGCAUGAGAAUAAUUUUAAAGGGGAAUGACAUUUGAAAAAAUUCAAAAGACAAAUCUAAAUCUUAUUCUAUACUUCUAAAGAUCUCAGUGAUGUUCAGUCAAGAUGGUUUACUAACAGAAUAAUAGAAUGACAAACUUUUCAUCAAUAAAAAUGUUUGUUACAUAUGAUAUCAUUAUCAAGUUGUAAUCAAAUCUGUCAUUAUUUGAAAAUAUUUUCCUAAUGUCUAUACAUUUCAUAAAUCUUUUUUAUGAUCUUUCAAGACUGAGGCUAGUUGUUUUUAGCUUAUAUGGCUCAUAUUUUUCAGUGAUCAUUUUUUAAAAAUAUAGAGUGCUUUAUGAAUUUGUGUGUUAUCCUUGCACUGGGACCAUGCUAAUCUUCUCUGUAUCAUUCCAAUUUUAGUAUAUUGUGCUGCUGAAGUGAUCACUUUUGGUGAUAGUUUUCAACACUUAAAAUGAAAUGCAGAAGACUUUUUCAAUAUAUACAAAUAUGAGUUGAAAUAAAAUUACAUUAAGUAGUAGAAAGGUUUGAUACAUUAACUAAGGAUGAUGACUACUGGCUUAUAAAAAUUCACACUACAUUUUGUAUAGCUAUUGUGUAGCUAUGAGCUUAAGAAUUGGAGUACCUACACAGUGGGAGAGUACAAAUGAACACCUAUGCAGAUGUUACUAUAACAACAGAACAACCAAUAUGCUAUAUGAUAGAAAAAAGCAAAGUGAAGUACUGAUUAUAAAUGGUGCUUAGCUUUAUUAAGCCAAGAGAGCACUAUUACUCAAAGUCUGUAUCUGACUGAGGCAAGUUGUUUUGUUGUAAUCAUGUUCUUGAGCUAUCUUGUGACUGUCAGUCAAGGACUGCCAUUCACCUAAAGGAAGCAGAAGCCUUGAAAAUGUUGUUAGGUAAUAGUCUGAUCCACAUUGAAGAACUUUUAAUUCAGAAUUUCUACCACUUUCUUUGAAAUGCUCUCACAUGUUCAUAAGGACAACAGCCAUGGAACUAUGAUAGUGUCAAAAGUCAACCUGCUACACAAACUCCUUUGAAAUCUUCAACUGCGUAGUCACAUGUCUAAAUGAAAGACUAGUGAUCAUCUCAUUGGAAAUAUUUCUAAAAUAUCAACAAAAAAUGAACUUAACAUUACAUCACAUAAAUCCUUUUUUUGAAGGUACAUGUUCUUUUAGCUGAAAACACAAUUUAAUAUUUGCCUUAUAUUUAGGUAGAGUAAGUCCUAUUUGUGAUAUUUUGAUAGGACCAUGCAUAGCUGUGAUGCUUCACAUCCUCUUAUACAACUAAAAUUCUUAAAAUUGAAAUUCAUUACUGGACUUUAGUUCUUGCAUAUACAACCAUCUUGGGAGAAGUAACACAUUUGACUGCUUUUGCCAUCGUUUGUUGGUGUCAAUAAGUUUAUCAAAUCUUUCUUUGCGAGCACUUUAGAUACGACCUCCAGGAAGAUGGGUAUAGAGAAAGAAUAAGUACUUAGAAAAGUAUAAAACAGACUAGGAGGGGAAUGGGAAAGUUUCCAAAACAAAGAUAGAAUAAUAUAAACUUCUGUUUAUAAUUUCCUUUCAUUUUGGUAAUCUAUAGCAACAUUCUUAGUAAGAAAGCAAUGACAGAACCAGCUGUUGACAAAUUAUUUUUCUAUAAUCCAUAUUAACUAAGCACAAACUACUGACACAGUAUGUCUUCUACUUUGGGAUUGGGGAAAUGUUUUAAAUGUCAAUAAAUGACUUGUUGAAAGGGAGAAAAUUCAGAUACAUAAUUAUUCUUUUCUUUCUUUUGUUGGAUUGACUUUCCAGGUACGUGCUUUGGAAAUGACUAAGAAGUGUUAUUGUUACAAAAGAAAAAGAAAAGCUGAGGAAUAGCAAUUCCCUUUUUGAGUUCCUAGGAACAUAUAUAGAGUCUUAAUAAGGUCAUUGGUGAAUAUUUUAAUUAAAGUAUUCUUAGGCUUAUGGAAUUACUAGGUCAUAUUAGAAUAUGCAAAAUGAGUGUUUAUACUUAGUUUGGCCACAUACAACCUUUUUAAAAGAGUAGUUGAUAGCAUUUUCUAAACCUUUCUACUUUCUAUUCUUUUUAAUUUGGUGUGUUCUGAGUUCUUUCCUUAUCACUCCACUGAAACUGCUCUCAGUAAUGACAUUGUUGACUUGACCUGACCUGACAAAUUCAAUAGAUGCUUUCCAGUAUUCCCUUUGUUCCAUUUGAUGCUGUUCAUCCAUCCCUUAUCGAUACUUCUUGUCAGUUCUGUGACUCUCCCUGGGUCCCAUUUUCUCUUAGUGUUUUCACCACCUAAAAGUCUGAAUCUUAGUCUCCUUUGUGGGGUUCCUCUUCCUCCAUACACUCAUUAUACACAGGUAUACCUCAGAAUUCCACUUGCUAUUCUUAUUCCUUCUUCAUCCUUAGAUGAUCAUAUCCACUCACUCUGAAGAUUCACUUAUUAUUUAUAUUGGUUGUUCCUAACAAUUAGGGAACAUAGAGUCUGCAAGGUUAGCUGUUCUGAGUCCAGAGGUGAAUACUGUAUAGUGACUGGAACUGGGGACAAUGGAAAAUAAUAGCACAUCUCUGUAUCCUCUGCAAAGCCUUGCUUCAGACCAUCAUCAGACCAUCAUCAGACCAUCAUUGCCUCUCACUGAUUAUGUGCCAGGCAUUGUCAGGAGAAGUGUAUAUGGAAAGUUAUAUAAAAUAAAUAAAAAGGUCAUGAUAUUAUACUUGUCUAGCAUAAAUCUACUCAUAGGAGUGACUGAAUAACCAUUUGCACUAAUUGUUUGGGUCUAUUAAAUAGGUCAUAGGAAGUUCAUCUGGUCCAGCAACUUCCUAGUAUUACUGAAGAAUUAAAAAAAAAA
rnacentral:lncRNA from 1 species